rnacentral:tRNA from 1 species
GCGCUGGUGGUGUAAGGCGAACAUCGCUGCGCGGAAAGCAGAAGAUGCGGGUUCGAGUCCCGCCUGGCGCA